AAACAAACACAUAUAUACUAUAUACUUUAAUAAUAUAACAAUAUUGAUUUAAAUGUAAUAACUGUGUUUUUAUAUCGUUGCACUCUUUGUUUUCGUAACCCGUUGGCUGCUGUGUGAGUCAUUCAUGUCACCAAAACAAGCGGUCACACGUUUGUAUACAGUAUAUAAUAUAUUAUAUUACAGGUGCAAUACUUCCAGCUGUAUGAUGUAUACAUAGCUAUCGGAAACUAAGACGCGCUGAUAUGGAACUCGUGAUGGGAUGUUCGGAAUACGGGUAUACAACAGCAGUCGACUGCUCCACAGAAUCAAUUACGAUCGAGUUCACUUUACGUCUAGUGAUGGUUUCAAAAUAAAAAUCAAUUUUAUUCGGAUUCUGUUAUGAUAAUAUUAUUAUAUGCAUAU